UAGGGAAUCUUCCGCAAUGGGCGAAAGCCUGACGGAGCAACGCCGCGUGAGUGAUGAAGGUCUUCGGAUCGUAAAACUCUGUUAUUAGGGAAGAACAAAUGUGUAAGUAACUAUGCACGUCUUGACGGUACCUAAUCAGAAAGCCACGGCUAACUACGUGCCAGCAGCCGCGGUAAUACGUAGGUGGCAAGCGUUAUCCGGAAUUAUUGGGCGUAAAGCGCGCGUAGGCGGUUUUUUAAGUCUGAUGUGAAAGCCCACGGCUCAACCGUGGAGGGUCAUUGGAAACUGGAAAACUUGAUUGCAGAAGAGGAAAGUGGAAUUCCAUGUGUAGCGGUGAAAUGCGCAGAGAUAUGGAGGAACACCAGUGGCGAAGGCGACUUUCUGGUCUGUAACUGACGCUGAUGUGCGAAAGCGUGGGGAUCAAACAGG
rnacentral:rRNA from 2 species